rnacentral:lncRNA from 1 species
GUCGAAUUGUAACUGUCCAUGGCAUUUCUGACCGUCCUUUCCAGGCCAAAUGACAGACAGAAAGCCAGAGGGGACAGCACUGAAUCCAAAUGCUUUUGCAUUCUGGAUAUGCAUGUACAUGAGAAGUAAUGGACAUUCAAAAAGCCAGAUCCUGCUGAUUCCACAUUUCAAUGGCUUGGUUUGCCAACUCAUGCAUGGGUGCCUCUAAACACUAAUCAGUAAUCCAGUUCAUUGCUAAGGCUGCAGAGCUCCAGGAUCUCUUAUUUUCUCACAGGAAGCAAGGAUGCCUCCUGCCUACAUUUGGGUCUUGGAUUGACUCACUACAUCACAGGACUGCUGGGCUCCAGGAUGCGAAGAUCCAGCCACAACUGGCACCAGAGAACAAGAGAAGCUUCCUUUCCAUCUCUGGUGGCCUGCUCACCAAAGACCCUCUGGUCCCGUCAACUUGGUGUUAACUCUUGGGUGUAAAUGCCUUUGAGAAAAUACCCACUGCACCUCCUACAGUGAAUCCCACUGCUCACACAGGGUUUGUAUGAAGUCUGCCCUUUAUGGGCCAUCUACACAUCUCCUGUAUAAGAUACAGAAGGUGAGUCUACAGUCGUACAUAGGAAGAGCGACCUAGGAUUUAGUGGGCCAAAUACAACCACGAAACGUCGCCUGGCAGCCUGAUUCCACAAACGCUGUAACCUUCCUCCUCCCUCCUGUGGGGACUAGGAAAGAAAAGAGAAAGAGAGGCACAGCCUCUGGUCUCGGAGAGACUUCCGGAAGUGCUUCCUCCCUUCUUUCUCUGGAGCUCCAGCUGCAGGACCACCGUGAGGAAGCUGUCACCGCCGCUAAGGCUGGCUGCCCUCUCUGGGAGUUGCACUUCCUUCCUCCGGUCCCUAAUCUGAGGACUGCUGGAUUGCAGACUUGGCAAGUCCAGUGUGUACCUACUGUUACCCCACUGGAGUCCUGAUGUGGCGGGAGGCCUGGUGGAAGGGACAGGGGGUAUUUUCCCUUUUAAUUUAUUCAAUGUUUUGUCUUAAAAACAGAGGGAGGGUAGGCAGCGAUCUUACCUGUUAUUAACUUUCCACCCCCGCUGCCAUCCCCUUAGCUAGAAGAGCCACUGGUUUUUAUUUUUGUUUUUAUCUUAAUGACCUUUCCUACUUCCCCUCCCCUACACUGUUUGAAACCCCGCUGUGGGGUUUGACUGACCCGACCUAGGGUGCUGCCCUCACGUGGACGCCGGCCCUGGGCGUGUCGCGUGUGCGCGGGGACGGCUGUGCGCGCGUCUCUGGACGAGACCAAUUUCUCCAUCGCGCAGCCAUCCCCGCGGACGACGUUUGAAAGGCGGACUGAGGGUGGAGGAGGUCGCGGGGAAAGCGGACCGAAGGGAAAGAAAAAUCAGAAAGACCAUUAGGAUCUGUCCGGGUGCCUGAACUCUUCCUCCUUCCCUAAAGGACCCUACCAAGCCGGUGGCGGCGAGGACGCAAACACCAUUGAGGGGGCUUCCGUGGGUCCGCGGUCUCGCGCUCCGCCGUGCAGAACGAACUGUUAGUGGGCGCUACUGAUCGCGCCGCGCUCGCGGCCUCGCCCCAUUCACACGGCCCCGCGUAAUGAAUUCGUCCAUUUAAAUACAUUACAGGAAUAUUGGAGAUUGCGGAGGACGUGACACUUGACCCUGCAACCCGAACCCCGCAGGGGCAGCCGCCGCCUUGCAAAGUAGCAGUCCCCGAGCAGCGCCGCGCGGCGGUGGCCGGCCAAGCCCUCCGGGAGCUCUCCGGGUCCCCUUCCUCGCCCCCACCCCCGCCUUGCUCGCAGCUUGCCUCUGUCGACCCCUUCCCGCAGCCGCGUUUCAAUCAAACUCACUGAGACGGCACCGAGCGGGCGCCGGGGACAAGAAACGCCUCGCCAGCGACAACGCGCGAACAAGCGGAGCCGCGGGCCCCGGCGCCUCCGCCCACACGCGCCCCGCGUGCUGAAACCCGCACCUGGCCCACGGGUAGCCGGAAAAGCCGGGUCCCGGCCCGCCCGCCGGGCCGCCCCUGCUCCCGCUCCCCCAGCUCCAAGCGCUGCGGCUCAGAAACCCACCCGCCCGGCCCAGCCCCCGCCGGAGCCCUGCACCUUGGGGAGCCGGAGGCUGGGGAGGGGACCAGAGAAGGGGAAGAAGGGGCAUCGCCCUUCUUCCUACCCUGGGACAGCGCCUGGACUGGAGCUGGGUGCCGAGGAAACGACGGGAAGAGCUGACAGAGAGGCGGAGGGAGAAAAGAAAGGAAAAGAGGCAGAGACGAGGAAGGGAAGAAAGGGAUCCGAAGUGACCCGCCCUCGGGCCUCCGCGCCGGUGAUGCCCCGCGCCCAGGGCGAGGCCGUGCUUCGCGGGCAUGAGAAGCCAGGAGGCAGCGGAGUGCGGGUCUGGGGCACCGGGGACAUUGCCAAACAUAAUUGGGGUGCCAAACUGGGCUUCUUAAUCUCGAAGCCAGGAUGGGCGGGUGUGGCCGGGGGUGCGCGGGGUCAGCCAGCUUGGGGUGCUUUCCUUCGGGGCUCACACCGGCAGCGCGGACCGGCCGAGGCCGCUGGGACUGCAAGUCCGCCGCCUGCUUUUGUUCUGGGUUCUGCUGUAAUUUAACAUAAAACGCCUGUUAGAAUCACUGCUGCCGAAACACGCGUUUCUCCUUGUUUUGCCACCAACUAACAGGAUUAGGCAACAAGAGCGAGAUUUCAAAUUAACCAUAAAAAUGACAAAUUGCAAUUCAUUUAGCUGCCCACUUACUACAUUAAAAAACAUAAAUAAAUGAAUCUGCGUAUUCAGAGGGUUGAACGGCCCGCAAGGAAGCGAAAGCGGUUGAACUCAGGCCUCCGGGUGGGAGUCAGGGCUGUGGCGCUGGCGAGAGCGGGCCGCCGCGGAAUUCGCACCGUCUUCCAAGGGCCCGGAAAGAGGC